rnacentral:rRNA from 1 species
GUUUCCAGCCAGCCCCCGGUAAUUUCGUAGGGGGGCAAGGCGUUAUUCCGUAAGUAUUGGGCCGUAAAGUCACGCGUAGGGCGGUUUGUUUAAGUUUUGAUGUGGAAAGCCCCUCGGCUCAAUCCGUGGAGGGGUCAUUGGAAAACUGGGAAAACUUGAGUGCAGAAAGAGGAAAGUGGAAUUUCCAUGUGUAGCGGUGAAAUGCGCAGAGAUAUGGAGGCACGCCAGUGGCGAAGGCGACUUUCUGGUCUGUAACUGACGCUGAUGUGCGAAAGCGUGGGGAUCAAACAGGAUUAGAUACCCUGGUAGUCCACGCCGUAAGCGAUGAGUGCUAAGUGUUAGGGGGUUUCCGCCCCUUAGUGCUGCAGCUAACGCAUUAAGCACUCCGCCUGGGGAGUACGACCGCAAGGUUGAAACUCAAAGGAAUUGACGGGGACCCGCACAAGCGGUGGAGCAUGUGGUUUAAUUUGAAGCAACGCGAAGAACCUUACCAAAUCUUGACAUCCUUUGAAAACUCUAGAGAUAGAGCCUUCCCCUUCGGGGGACAAAGUGACAGGUGGUGCAUGGUUGUCGUCAGCUCGUGUCGUGAGAUGUUGGGUUAAGUCCCGCAACGAGCGCAACCCUUAAGCUUAGUUGCCAUCAUUAAGUUGGGCACUCUAGGUUGACUGCCGGUGACAAACCGGAGGAAGGUGGGGAUGACGUCAAAUCAUCAUGCCCCUUAUGAUUUGGGCUACACACGUGCUACAAUGGACAAUACAAAGGGCAGCUAAACCGCGAGGUCAUGCAAAUCCCAUAAAGUUGUUCUCAGUUCGGAUUGUAGUCUGCAACUCGACUACAUGAAGCUGGAAUCGCUAGUAAUCGUAGAUCAGCAUGCUACGGUGAAUACGUUCCCGGGUCUUGUACACACCGCCCGUCACACCACGAGAGUUUGUAACACCCGAAGCCGGUGGAGUAACCAUUUAUGGAGCUAGCCGUCGAAGUGGACAAAAGAGG